rnacentral:lncRNA from 1 species
CCCAGCCUCAUCAGAAAGAUGGUUGAUGACCUCUCCGUCUUCCUUCGUACUCCGUAGAGCGAACUGACUUUUCUCCUUCUUCUCUUUGGAUCCCUAGAUCUAUCUAUUUUUUUAUUUUUUCUAUACUUUCUACUCAAUUUUUUUUCUCUCUAGACUUAUUCUCAGACCUCCUAUUUAUAGGUGAGUUUUUCAUAUUUUUUUGGUAGG